rnacentral:rRNA from 1 species
CCUACGGGGGGCAGCAGUGGGGGAUAUUGCACAAUGGGGGGAACCCUGAUGCAGCGACGCCGCGUGGGUGAAGAAGUAUUUCGGUAUGUAAAGCCCUAUCGGCAGGGAAGAAAUUGGACGGUACCUGACUAAGAAGCCCUGGCUAACUACGUGCCAGCAGCCGCGGUAAUACGUAGGGGGCAAGCGUUAUCCGGAUUCACUGGGUGUAAAGGGAGCGUAGACGGUUAUGUAAGUCUGGAGUGAAAGCCCGGGGCCCAACCCCGGGACUGCUUUGGAAACUGUGUAACUGG